GGAUGUGCUUUGUUCUUGUUGUUAGAGGCACAUGGAAUGGAGCUAUCUAACUGGAAACUCUAAAAUGCUUUUAGAAGGACACCUGAGUAAAAACCAAGUGAAUGAAGUUCUUUCCAUGGGUAUGAUGCAGUCUUUUCCUGGAAUGUGGCUAAUUAUCACAAAUGAUGUAAUACAGUGCUGUCCUUUAUACAACAGAUUGCUAAUGUUCAGUGAAGUUAAUCAAGAAGAAAGAGGUCUUUAAGUCCCUUACAAUUAAACCCUUCUGCCUGUCACCUGUAACAUAAAGGGCAUUAAAAAGGCUGUAUCAGAAUGAAACAAACACACAGAACAGUAAUCAAGAUCUUUUAAGACUUAUCACAAACAAUCACCUUGAAGACUGUCAACAAUAUAUAUGACAGUGUUCAUGAUGUAGCUUAAGGACCAUUGCCAAUUCAGAGACACUGUAGUUCACCCUGAAUACUACUGCUAAUAUAAAGUAUGGAAAAACAUGAUGGACAUGAUUAUUAUGUAAAUAUUCUAAUGGAACACAGUACCAACAAUGUAUGAAACAAGAGGGCCAUGAAGGCCCUGUACUGCUCACUUGACCUAUUGACCUAACGAUCAAGAUUAACAUUCUGACCAAGUUUCAUUAAGAUAUGGUUAGAAAUAUGGCCUCUAAAAUGUUAACAAGUUUUUACUUUGAUUCGACCUGGUGACCUAGUUUUGACCUAACAUGACCCAGAUUCAAACUUGACCUAAAGAUCAUCAAGAUUUACAUUCUGACUAAGUUUCAUGAAGAAACAGUCAUAAAUGUGGCCUCUACAGUGUAAAAAAGCUUUUCCUUUGAUUUGACCUAGUGACCUAGUUUUUGACCCCACCUGACCCAGAUUUUAAUAUAACCUAUAGAUCAUCAAGAUUAACAUUCUUACCAUGUUUCAUUAAGAUAUGAUCAUAAAUGUGGCCUCUAAAGUGUUUACCAGCUUUUUCUUUGAUUUGACCUGGUGACCCAGUUUUUCACCUUAAUGAACCAGAUUCAAACUGGACCUUGAGAUAAUAAGAUUAACAUUCUGACCAAGUUUCGUGAAGAUACAGUCAUAAAUGCUGCCUCUACAGUGUUAAGAAGCUUUUCCUUUGAUUUGACCUGGUGACCUAGUUCUUGACCCAAGAUGACCCAAUAUCAAACUCGUCCAAAUUUUAUUUAGGGUAACAUUCUGACCAAGUUUCAUUAAGAUUGGGCCAAAAUUGUGACCUCUAGAGUGUUAACAAGCUUUUCCUUUGAUUUGACCUGGUGACCUAGUUUUUGACCCUAUAUGACCCAAUAUCGAACUAAUCCAAGAUUUUACUGAGGGUAACAUUCUGACUAAGUUUCAUUCAGAUUGGGCCAAAAUUGUGACCUCUAGAGUAUUAACAAGCUUUUCCUUUGAUUUGACCUGGUGACCUAGUUUUUGACCCUAGAUGACCCAAUAUCAAACUAAUCCAAGAUUUUAUUGAGGGUAAAAUUCUGACCAAGUUUCAUUAAGAUUGGGCCAAAAUUGUGACCUCUAGAGUGUUAACAGUCAAAUUGUUGCAACGACGGACGGCAGACUGACAGACGACGGAUGCGGGGCGAUCACAAAAGCUCACCUUUGAGCACUUCAUGCUCAGGUGAGCUAAAAAAGGACCUAAUCUGAUAAUUUAGCUAAAUAUAACAACUAUUGUCGAAGACCAUCCUGGAUACAACUAUUGUAACAAACCUCCAGAACAGGAUAAGGUGGCUGCAUGAUACUCAUCAUCUCUGCUACUAAUCAGACAAUAAAAUUGUAAUAAAAAUGUUUCAGCCUUAACAUGUGUAACAUCUGUUUGUUUAAGUUAAUGAUGAUGAAUUCUGAUCAAAUAAAGUCA